rnacentral:misc_RNA from 1 species
GAAAUGCGAUAAGUAGUGUGAAUUGCAGAAUUCAGUGAAUCAUCGAAUCUUUGAACGCACAUUGCGCCCCUAGGUAUUCCAUGGGGCAUGCCUGUUCGAGCGUCAUUUGUACCCUCAAGCUCUGCUUGGUGUUGGGUGUUUGUCCCGUCUCCGCGCGUGGACUCGCCCCAAAGUGAUUGGCAGCCGGCGUACUGGUCCCGGAGCGCAGCACAUGUCGCGCAAACGAGUGCCUUGGUACGGCGGCGUCCAUAAGCCCCUCUCUCACGCUCUUGACCUCGGAUCAGGUAGGGAUACCCGCUGAACUUAAGC